GCUGGCGGGAACGAGUGGGAGGGGUGGAGCCGCCAUUGCCUCCCGGGAGCGCGGAGCCGCAGGGGGGUCCGGGCGGGAAAGCGGCACUGCCGGGGGGCGAAGGGCCGGAGAGCGCCGAGUCGUUAAGCCGCACAACAGGCAGGCCCGCGGCAUCCCAGGGCGCAGAUCUCCAAGGACAGACAAGAACAUCCAUCCUUUCCCCUGUGCACAUCACAACAUACAAAAGCCACCAUAUUGAGAUCUCCAGAAUUCUUCAGGCAACAAGUUGGUGAUAAGUCUGACUCAGGCAACACAGAAAUGAGAUCCUGCAUGCAUGGGCCAAAAACAAAGUGACUCAAUCAGCUGAAUAGCUUUUGAAGACUUCAGAUAAUUCUUACCUGUGCCUCAGUUUCCUCUCUCUCAGAUCUGGAAAACAGACAACAGGAAGCUUACUUAAUACUUUCAAACUAGUUUUUGAGAACUGAACAUGAAGCAACACAAAAGAAAAGCAAAACACUAACUAAAACAUUCAUUAUUUACUGUAUCUAUUAAAGAGCCCAUAUCUCUUCUAGCCAGGCUCAGAGUCCUGUUUUGCUGGGCACUCUGCGAGUAUAAAAAUGAAAGACAACUUCUACCUUGAAA